rnacentral:rRNA from 1 species
UACGAAGGGGGCUAGCGUUGCUCGGAAUCACUGGGCGUAAAGCGCACGUAGGCGGAUUGUUAAGUCAGGGGUGAAAUCCUGGAGCUCAACUCCAGAACUGCCUUUGAUACUGGCGAUCUCGAGUCCGGGAGAGGUGAGUGGAACUGCGAGUGUAGAGGUGAAAUUCGUAGAUAUUCGCAAGAACACCAGUGGCGAAGGCGGCUCACUGGCCCGGUAUGACGCUGAGGUGCGAAAGCGUGGGGAGCAAACAGGG